UGUUUACAUAUUAGCUGAUACUAUGGUGGACUUUCUAUUAAGAUGAGGUUGUCAUUAACCAGAAUAAACAGCAAAAUUUAUCGGUGCCGAACCCUGUCGCUGCUGCAGUGACGUCACGAGUCACGUGACUCUCGGCACAUCAAGUUCGAGGGGGAAAACAAACGAGGCGGCGGCGGCGGCGGCGGACCCCUCAAACACUGAAGAGGAAGCACCGGCGGCCUUACUCUUACUACAAGUCUUUGACUGUUACUGCUGGUGUAGUGGCAAUCCAGAGGACAGUUGAGAGGAAUGAAGAAAGGCAGAAGUUAUACCGUUUCUAGGCACUCACCCUGCCCAGCCCAGCCCACCCCAGCCCACCCCACCAUCACCACUACUGCUACCAAUUGCUCUCUGCAUGUCUGACUUCUUCCAUUACUUGGCAGAUGAGUUUUGGUGGUGUGAAUUAUGCUGUGUGUUCAGUGUGUAUUUUCGUUGUGCUUGCAUGGUUGUGAUGCAGGGUAGCAAUGUAUCGGAUAUCUGCCUCCGCCACCUUCUCUGUGGAGUCUCCGCUGUGAAAUUAAUAUCUGCAUUACAAUCUGCAUCUGUAUUUUCAGACAACAAAAGCUCCACAUCAU